UACAGAGGGGGCAAGCGUUGUUCGGAAUUACUGGGCGUAAAGGGCGCGUAGGCGGCCUGUUAAGUCGAACGUGAAAUCCCCGGGCUCAACCCGGGAACUGCGUCCGAUACUGGCAGGCUUGAAUCCGGGAGAGGGAUGCGGAAUUCCAGGUGUAGCGGUGAAAUGCGUAGAUAUCUGGAGGAACACCGGUGGCGAAGGCGAGUCCCUGGGCAGGUCCUGACGCUGAGGCACGAAAGCUAGGGGAGCAAACAGG
rnacentral:rRNA from 1 species